rnacentral:rRNA from 1 species
GCCCUCACCCCGUUCUUUCCCGUUUUUUGGGCGAGGAUGUGGGUGAGGGUGGUGGAUUAGCGGCGAAAGGGAGAGUAACGCGUAGAUACGUACCCUCGGACCCGGGAUAGCGAGGCCUGCUUCGGCAGGUUACCGAAAGGCUCGGUAAUACCGGAUAGUGUCCCCGGACCAAAGGUGUGAUUCCGUCCGAGGAGCGGUCUGCGUCCUAUUAGCUUGUUGGUGGGGUAAUGGCCUACCAAGGCGAAGAUGGGUAGCGGGUGUGAGAGCAUGGCCCGCCUCACUGGGACUGAGACACUGCCCAGACACCUACGGGUGGCUGCAGUCGAGAAUCUUCCGCAAUGGGCGCAAGCCUGACGGAGCGACGCCGCGUGCGGGAUGAAGGCCUUCGGGUUGUAAACCGCUGUCAGAGAGGCGGAAAUGCAUGGGGGUUAUCCCUCGUGUUUGACCUAAUCUCAGAGGAAGCGCAGGCUAAGUUCGUGCC